rnacentral:lncRNA from 1 species
AAGAUUAAAUAGUAAAAUCAAACUUUCUAAAAUUCAUAUUUUUUUUUUCUUUUUGCUUGCUUCAAGCAUUGUUAGUGUCUUUGUAUUANNNNNNAUUUUUUUUUAUCUCUACUUCAUCUAGACUUUUAUUCUUUUAUGUUGAUAAAUACAAAGAAGUGGAUGAUUUUGCUAAGAGAUUGAGUUCAUAUUGGCCUGAAAGAGGGCAAAAAUUUUUAAUUUCUAGGUGAAGACGCAAGGACCGGAAGAAAUUUGAUAAAUGGAAAUGGAUCCAUUUAGAAAUACACAUGGAGGUCAAAACUGAUUGUAUUAUAUUGCUUAUUUUUUUUAGGCUAAAUUACAGAAAAUCCCCUUGUAAUAACCCGCUUUUUCACUUUCCCUCCUUGACAUUUAAAAACCUACACUUUGCCCCCCUAUAAAAUAAAAAAUAUGCACUUCACCCCCUACCGUUAGGGUUUCGUUAAAAAAUAUAUUUUUAUGCCAAAAAUACCCCUCCGCAAUCUCCUUGUUGCUUUGUCUCCCUCUGGCUCGCCACCUCGCCGUCGCCUCGCCGUCUCGCCGUCCUCCACUGCCUCGCCCUCACCCACAUCCCCUUCGCCGUCCUCCGCCGCCUCGCCUUCGCCUUCUUUGCCCUUCUCCUACUGUUGCCCACCUCGGUUUCUCCUACUGUUGCCGAAAUCGAGGGUUGCGAGGGUGCAGGAGGAGAAGGGGAGCAGGUGGAGAAGGAAAUGGAGAGAAAUCGCGGCCGAUUGAGGUGAGAAUCGCGGCCGAACGAAGGGGCGGCUGAGGAAUAUGGGGAAGAAGACGACAAUGGCGAGGGGCAAAAUGGUCAUUUUACAUACCGUAACCCCCUGUGAACAUUUUUUAUUUUACAGGGGGGCAAAGUGUAGGUUUUUAAAUGUCAGGGGGGAAAGUGAAAAAGCGGAUUAUUAUAGAGGGGUUUUCUGUAAUUUCGCAUUUUUUUUUAUUGUAUGCUUUAAUUUGUGUAACUAAUCUAUCUAUUUAUACAACUCCGUCCUCUUCACCAAUCGCCAUUAUGAUGCCUCCAAUCCUAUCGGUGAGCUCCCAUCGGUAGGAAAAUUCUACUGAUUGCAGGGAAUGAGGGGAAGGGGUGCUGCCAUGACCCCAUGGCCGACGGUCACGCUACCGCCGUGCGUUGCUUGCUAGAGCCCUCGCCAUCAUAUCUGAAGCUCAUUCCUUCUCCUAUUGGGUUUCCCACAUGAGAUCGACAAUGUAAGUCACGCACCUCUCUCUUGCUUUCCCUUUUUUUUUUAAUCAUGAUAAAUAAUCCAAUUUGCAAUUUUUAUCCUCAAUUACCAGUUUUCCUUGCCAAUUCAAGUAUUUUCUUUUUUUUUUUAAGCAUUGUUUGCUUUUAAAUUAAUGUACGAUUAUUUGAGUUGGUAAAUCCAGACAUCUCUACUCAAUUUUCCCUCUUUUGUCACCUGUAGUGACAACUACAACGGCAAUGACGAGGGUACAACUAGGCAAAAUUUUUCUAAUUUGUAAGAUAAAUUUUUCUAAUUUGUAAUGUCUUAGAAGGCUUAUUAUUUGCUUUUUGGUUGUUUUUAACCUGUUGUAUCUCAUGCCUACUAGAUGGACCAAUUUGAGCCUUAUUGGUUUUUCGUGAACCAAAUUUAAAAUUAGAGUGAAAAUUCAAAUAGGCAUGAGACCAAUUAGAUUGAUAAUAAUGAAGUGCCUGAAAGGUCUUGAAAGGAUUGGUUAUUUUAGAAACGUAUUGCCUCCUCACUCUUCCAAACUGUCUCAACAGCUUUCUGAUGCUCAAAUUUCUUUAUUUUUCAUUCUUUGAUAGUUUAAUUGUUAAGUUCGGUGUCUUCAAAAUUAUUUGAUGUAAUGCCUCAAAGAGUUUAGUGAGGCCAAAAAAAAAUAAAC